AUUGAACGCUGGCGGCAUGCCUUACACAUGCAAGUCGAACGGCAGCACGGGAGCAAUCCUGGUGGCGAGUGGCGAACGGGUGAGUAAUAUAUCGGAACGUGCCCAGUCGUGGGGAUAACGUAGCGAAAGCUACGCUAAUACCGCAUACGAUCUAUGGAUGAAAGCGGGGGAUCGCAAGACCUCGCGCGAUUGGAGCGGCCGAUAUCAGAUUAGGUAGUUGGUGAGGUAAAGGCUCACCAAGCCGACGAUCUGUAGCUGGUCUGAGAGGACGACCAGCCACACUGGGACUGAGACACGGCCCAGACUCCUACGGGAGGCAGCAGUGGGGAAUUUUGGACAAUGGGCGCAAGCCUGAUCCAGCAAUGCCGCGUGCAGGAUGAAGGCCUCGGUUGUAACG
rnacentral:rRNA from 1 species